rnacentral:lncRNA from 1 species
GGCGCGCUGCUGUUCGCGGGCCAGCCCUACGACCCCGCCGCCGCCACCGCCUCAGCCGACCCGUUCAUGCUGCUGCUGAACGGCGAGGAGGGCGAGUCGGCCUCGGCCGGCACCCUCAUCAUCUCCGACCUCAACCUUGCCUGGUUCAACGACGACGGCAGCCUCAACUGGGGCCUGGUGACGCUCCUCAUCCUGACCGCCGGCACCCUGGCCAUGCUGGUGGGCUUCGUGGUCAGCUGGCUGUCGCUGCGCCGCACCAUGCGCACUGCGGUCGUGUAUCCCGGCGGCGCGGCGGCCUGGCGGCGCGCUGGCGCGCGCCGCGUCUGCGCGGCCAAGGCCGGCGCCGGCUCGGAGGGCGGCGAGUGCGACUCGUUGGACAACCCGCUGCUGCUGCUGCCCGAGGUGAGGCAGGCGCUGCGUGGGGUGCUUGGGCUGUGGGAGGCGGCAUGGAUGGGGCUUGUGUGUGGAUGGAUGGGAAUGCCAUUGUCUGAAUGUUUGCCAACCCCAGCAGUAUUGGGCACGCUGCGGUAUCUGGCGCAGAAACAGUUGCACUUACGCCACCGCUGUUGCAACUGCUACCUGUUAUGCCGCAGGACUGCUAUGGUGCUGAGCCGCUAAAGAUCGAGUGCGCGUCCACGUACGUGCCACCAGUGCUGCCCAACGAGAGCGUUGCCAAGGUGCUGUGCAAAUAAACUCUUCCUUUUUUGCGCAUCAAUGGGGCGUAAGUCGUGAGCGUAUGCUGCAACCAGUAGCCCCAGACGUGGGCCCUCUUCUUUUGGUGCAUAGUGCGCUUGUGUGGCGCUUGUGUGAAGCGCGCGGGUAAGGGAAGCAGUUGGCAGUGCAGCAGUGAUUGCACACUACCGUAUCACGUCAGCACCUCGCAGCACGACCUCGAAGCGUUUGCAAACAAUAUUUGUCGAAUCAGGGAAGCUCUGUGCUUGCUUAGUGUGAUUGUGUGCUGC